CUUGCUGAAAUGACUUCUCGAGACUUUUCUGUUUGCUUUUGGAUAAUGGAUUACAUCUUACCUAUGUACGAGAACUAGGCACGAUGAUAUGACGCACGUGCUGAGAACUUUGCUGUUUGUCGGAUUUCGAUGCUAUUUGGAUGAGUGGAAUCGCACGAAUGACGAGCGAAGUAGAUCCCAGUCAAACGAAACACACCGAUGAUUGCUCCACAUAUUUAUACGUUCAUCUAGCAGCACACCUUCUUUUCUAUCCAGGACCCAAUUCCCCAGCCCUUUAGCGCGACAAAGCAGAGCAGGGCAGCCAAAACAAUAAAUUUCCCUUUCGUUGCCGAAACAUGAAGACUCAAAUUUUGAAAUUUCAAAUUGGAAUAUCAAAACCUCGAAAGUGGUCAGGAAAAUUAUAUCGACGUACCCUGUUUGUAGAUGUCAAUGAAUAAAGGAUUACUAUUAUGUAUGCCAAAAAUAGUAACCUUUGUGAUAAUAUUCGAAAACACUCAAAAAGGACAUCUCGUUUAGUAUGAAGGAUUAACAUUGGUAGUCAUAAUUCUCCCGUUUAUUUGAAACCCAGCGAAUUUUGUAACAAAUCUCCGUACUCAUCAGA